ACAGUUCCGAGGCAGCAGAUGACAGCCCACCAUCCCAGGAUGACUGUCUACCUCGGAAGCCCCCUUCCCUACCCCCCUGAAGAGUCAACCGAUGCCCACCAGGCAAAGCUACCAUCGGUGGAGAGGUGCCAGCGAGGAGUUCUGUGGUUGGGCCACAACUAAAAGCAUGUUUGGGGCUGGAGAUGUAACUCAGUGUGAGAGCACUCACCUAGUACGCAGGAAGCCUGGGGUUCUACCACCACCACAAACAAAAACUGCCCGUGUAUCAGUGUAACGCAAUCUAUGAGAUUAACUUGUAUCCAGGUCCUUCUAUGCCACAGUGAAGAGCAGACUGGAAAGCCCUGGCCCGAAGAGGAGCUGUCUUAGAGGAGAAGAUUAAUUUCACAAUUCUGGUUAACUUAUCUCACCAUCACAUCUGCCUGUGCAGACGAAUAAAUCAUAUGCGAGCUUUUGUUUU